ensembl:lncRNA
CUACAGGUGCACCACAGAGAGUAUCCUGACCGGCUGCAUCACCGCCUGGUACGGCAGUAGCUCCGCCCUCAACCGUAAGACAUUACAGAGGGUGGUGAAAGCUGCCCAUCACAUUACCAGGACGGAGCUGCCAUCUAUGGAGGACCUCUACACUCAGCGCUGCAGGAAGAAGACUAACCGGAUUAUUAAAGACCCUCAUCACCUCGGGGCGGUGACGCUAGGGAAUAGAACAAAGGCGUGAGGCCUAGAGGGGCGGCGCCUAGCUCUGGCGUGUGCUGCUGUGGUUGGGCUCAAGGAUGAUGGAGCUGGUGGGCGGAGCCACACCACUUGGUGAGAUGCAACUCACCUGAGCAGGCUUGGUGCCUAUAAAGCAGCCCUGGUAACGUCCUACUUCUGAGGGCGUGUCUCCAUGGAUGCCUGAAGGCAGCAGCAGAGUCUUCCUUACCUGCUAGAUCCCCGGAGACCCUCACACAGAGAGUACACACAGUCCCCCUGUCAGUGGUGACGGGGCGAACUGGCACCAAGCGAUCUGCACGCUGGAAUCUCAAUCUUCUACCCUCAGACAGAUAGACCAGUGGACUGUGUACGUAGACAUGGUCGGUUCACCUGAAAUCAAGCAUCAACAGAAAGAAUGAUACAUUGGGAUGUGUUCCUCUUGCUCCUUCCCUGGCCUCCACGCCCACACGGCCUGCUGUGUCUUCUGACAGUUCCCUCUCCAGGUCCCCGUGCUGGUCUCUCCCCCUGGGGGUCGGGGGGAAACUGCCUCUUUCUGUGUCCUUGCAGCCUCUUGCUGUUAUCCACGGCCUCUCCCGUUGCUCUGUUGAAGCCCCCCCCCAUCCCGGCCUGUGUCUGGGAGUGACCUUCUCCCAGCCUGGAGCGAUGUGUGAUCAGACCACCGCUCACACCCCUCACUCUUAGUAAUAAUAAUACCCCCGCUUCAAAUGGGAGUGACACACAAACC